UUUCCCUCCCAUUCCUAGAUAAUAGAUGUAGUAUGAUUCUUGUCUCAUAUGUAACGGCUCUUUUUCCCUCGUAUUCCAAUUCUCAACAGCUUCUAGCCAUUUUGAAAUAUUUGGGUUUCGUGUCUCCUGGCUCUGGCUAGGGUUAAGGAUUUCCAAGAUGAAAAUCAGUCGCAAACCCAAGAAACCAGAUCCAUCUUCAAAGCUGGUUUUGGAAGAAAUCAUUGGCUUGACGACAAAGAAUGCCAAUGGGUUGGCUUCCAGCAUCAAGAAUGGGAAUUGUGUUUACAUGGCUGGCUAUGUUGCGGUGGUUUACAAUGUGGAUUCGGGCACUCAGUCCCAUCUCAUGGUGUCUCAUCGAAUGCCAAAGCCUUUGAACUGUGUUGCUGUCUCGCAGGAUGGGCGUUUCAUUGCUGCUGGAGAGUCAGGGCACCAACCUGCAGUGCUAGUGUGGGACUCUAAGACUCUGGCUUUCAUAUCUGAACUGAAAUGUCAUCAAUAUGGGGUUGUAUGCAUUGCCUUUUCACCUGAUGGGAAACAUCUGGUGUCUGUUGGAUUUCCACAUGAUGGAUAUAUCUGCCUUUGGGACUGGCAAAGAGGGUUGCUGGUUGCAAAGCUUAAAUCAAGUUCGUCUUGUUCUGCCAUUGCAUCUGUUAGCUUCUCAUCAGAUGGAAAAUUAAUUAUAACAGCGGGAAAGAAGCACUUGAAGUUUUGGAUGGUUGGAUCUUCAACAAGGCUUCGCACAGAUACUGGCACUGGGUCAAUAGCAAUGCAUGGAAAACCUAUUAAUCUUGGUUAUCAUAAAGGAAGCUCUUUUACAUCGGUCUCAUCCCCCAUUUGGGCUUCUAGUAGUCUGGGUGGUAAAGAAGAGACUUGUGAAUUGUUUCCUAUCUAUGCACUAACCGAUGUAGGUGUUUUAUGCUUACUGGAUUCUGGGUUGUCAGUACAAAAGUCAGUGGAUUUAGAGGUUGAGAAAGGUUUUGCACUAUCUACGUCCGACAAGUUAAUUGCUUGUGCAUGCAGUAAUGGAAUUGUACAACUCUUUACCAUUGAAACUCUUGAAUAUGCUGGAAGUUUACAAUAUUCACAGUCCAAAAUAUGUGAAGAGGCAAAGAAUAAGAUUUGUCAUGCAGAAGUCUCAAAAACGAAUUGUCAACUUGGUCCUACACUUCCUGAUGCAAUUGCCUGUCAAUUCUCAACCUCAAGGAAGCUUGUGGUUGUUUAUGGAGAUCACAGUCUUUAUAUAUGGGACAUUCAUGACGUACACAAGGCUAGCAGGUGCUGUGUGCUUGUCUCACAUAGUGCAUGCAUAUGGGAUAUCAAGAGUCUCUCUUGUGAAAACAUGCAUGAUCCGUCUCUUGCAUGUGUAGCUAGGGGUUGUUAUGGUGGAGUUUCUUUUGCAACAUGUUCUGCGGAUGGUAAUAUUAGGUUAUGGGAUCUUGCCUUGCAAUCUGAUAUUUCAGAGGAUACCACAUCCAAACUUGCCGUGGACCAUUGUUCUUUAAUUACUGAACCUGUGGGGACUACACACUUAGUAAGUGCAGGGAUCCUUGAAAGUGAGAAUGUGGGUUCUGGUGUUGGCACACAAGGAUUUCGAUCUAUGGCAGUUAGCUCAGAUGGAAAGUACCUGGCUGCUGGUGACUGCCAGGGAAACCUGCACAUUUACAAUCUACACACUUCUGAUUAUACCUGUUUCCAGGAUGCUCAUGAUGCAGAGAUUCUAUCAUUGAGCUUUAACUUGCCAAGCAGGAAGGAUUUUACUUCUCAUGAAAUUAAAAGCCAUUACUUCCUUGCAUCUGGGGGACGAGAUCGUUUAAUCCAUCUUUAUGAUGUUGAGAGGAAUUUUGAUCUUGUUGGAAGUGCUGAUGAUCAUUCAGCUUCUGUGACUUCUGUAAAACUCACUUCCAAUGGCAGUAAGAUUCUUAGUUGCAGUGCUGAUCGGUCUCUAGUGUUCCGUGAUGUGGCUGUAAUGGCUACUGGUUGUAAGAUCUCCCGUCGCCAUCAUCAAAUGGCAUCUCAUGGCACUGUGUAUGACAUGGCUGUUGAUCCAAAAUUGGAGGUUGCUAUUACAGUUGGACAGGAUAAGAAGAUAAACACAUUCAACAUUGCUUCUGGGAAACUUAUUAAAUCAUUAAAGCAAGAUGGAGAUUUGGGAGACCCAAUAAAGGUCACCAUUGACCCAAGCUGCACUUACCUUGUUUGUUCCUACUCUAACAAGUCCAUCUGCAUGUAUGACUUUAUCACGGGAGAGAUGGUUGCACAAGAAAUGGGGCAUAGUGAAGUUAUAACUGGUGUUAUUUUCUUACCUGACUGCAAGCACAUUAUUUCUGUAGGUGGUGAUAGCUGUAUUUUUGUUUGGAAAUUGCCGACCUCUUUGUCUUCAAGGAUGCUGCAGAGAAUCAAGGAAAGUUCUGAUCCUUUGUCUCCAGCAAGCAUGCUCCUGCCGCUCUCAUCAAGUCGUCGGAUCUUGUCCCUUGAAGAGGAUUACCACCUAUGCGAAAUCAAUCCUGAAGAUAAAUCCUUGCCAACAGAUUUCAACAAAGUCAAUCGAAGUGUGCGACAAGAAAAGAAUCAUCAAGAGACCUCAGCAUUUAAAUUUAGCAUUUCAAGACUUCCUAAGUGGGCACGAUCUAAAGUAACUAGUUCUGAGAAUGCCCAUGGAGAUGCUGUGGUCAUUUCAUCUGAGCAGAUGGAACUGAAAAAUUUCUCCCCCAUAGUCGGUAGUUGUGAUGGACAUGAUUUUGUGUACCCUGAAGUUCAAACUCCUCCUAAACAUGAUAUGGGAGAUAAAAAGCAGUGCCUUGGUACCAUAUUCAGCAGUUCAUCUGAUACUGAUUGCAGUGGAAGUUCUUCCAUGCCUCCAGAAAUCCAUAGAAAUUUUGCUAUGGACAAUCGUUGGCUCACAAUUCACACUGUUUGUCUGGAUCUACUGAACUCCCCAGAGAUUUGGGACGUCAAUGACAUGAGGACGCCAGUGUCCAGCCCACAUUUAUUACAAAGCAUGGCUGUAGAGACACCAAUUAAUGAAGAGCACAAAGAAAUUUCAUCAAGAGGUCACACAGUAGUGAAUCAUUUUUCUGUGGAGCACCCUUCAAGCCAUGGUAACCAUGUUGUAGAUGAUGGACCAGAGGCGACUUUAAGUGGACAUCCUCAAUAUCAUGCUCCUGGGUCUAUGUUUGAGAACAAUGAUCAACUUUGUGUUCAUAAUGCAAGUGCAUGCAAUUAUGAUGUUGUUAGUGAAGUGUCAGCACAGUUGCAAUCAAACACAACUGAGAGCAGGGUGCAAACAAAUUUAGACUUCAAGUCCCAAGACAAUGACCUGUUCAACCAGCAUUUCAGUAAUUUAUCGACUGUACCAAAGACAGAGGGAAGGAAAUCUUCAGGUAGGAGAAGAUUCUCUGCGCGUUUUGUUGUGCGGCAAGACUGUAUUGGAGACUGCAGUAGACUUUUUGAGACUUACAUUAAAGAUUUAGGUAGUGAAACCUUGAAUUGUGGGGAAGAAUCGUCCUUGCACUCUAUAUUUAAGAAUCCGUCAAUUCCAGGGCUUGAAGAACCACAGUUAAUAGAUGCUUUUGAACAGGACACCAAUAACUCACCUCAAGGCUCGCUGAGCUCAAGUCACACAGAGUCUCAAAGUGAAUGCUUUGUCCAAAAAAAUUCGUUGUGUAUGGAAGUAAGAGAAGUCAGAGACCAGAAGGAAUGUAUUAUUAAGGGAACUGAAAUGGAGGAACCUAUAAUUGCAUGCAAGAAGGCAUUGAUCUGUUUGGAUGCUGCAGCUGGGAGUGCACUCCGGUUAUUUUCUAAUUUGGAAAAUUUGGUUUCUAGAGAAGAGAUUUCAAGUGGGCCUGAAGCUGAUUUAUACCAUCAUGCAGCAGAGCUGCUACCAUCAAUAGCAGAGAAGGUUAAUGCCAUUGCCAAAUUGGUGCAAGCCAGCAAGAAUAAUUUGUGUGGAAAAACUAGAAAGGAAUUUUCAACCCUUGAACCUCUGUUAGGAACAUUUGCGGAGAAUCUCUCAUGAAGGGUGGUUGGGAUGCUGAAGAUCAAGCUCGACACUCUGGGGCAUGUUCCUUGACCCAACGAGAAAAGAAGAGAGGAAAAAGAAGUUGCAAUGGAGGUAGAUGCAGACCAUACAAGUCAUGCAUAGACAUUAUUAAGGAAAAAGAGUAACAAGGGCACACUAUGCUGCCUUCCUCAAGUAGUCCUUAAACUCCAACAGUUAAUUUCUUGUUGAGCCACCUCCAUAUGGACCGACAAAGAAGGAUUUCAACAAAUUCUCAUGGCAUCAAAAUUUCUGCUAUUAAUCUGCUUCCAGAUGCACCAAUCUUUGUCCAAGCCCUAUGCACAGCUUCUGCUG